GACGAACGCUGGCGGCGUGCUUAACACAUGCAAGUCGAACGGGUCUGCCCUGUUUUUUGCGGGGUGGGUCAGUGGCGAACGGGUGAGUAACACGUGAGUAACCUGCCCCUCACUUCUGGAUAACCGCCUGAAAGGGUGGCUAAUACGGGGUGUUCUGGCUGUGCCGCAUGGUGUGGCUGGGAAAGAUUCACUUUUGUGGUGUUUUGGUGGGGGAUGGGCUCGCGGCCUAUCAGCUUGUUGGUGGGGUGAUGGCCUGCCAAGGCUUUGACGGGUAGCCGGCCUGGGAGGGUGGGCGGUCACACUGGGACUGAGAUACGGCCAAGACUCCUGCGGGAGGCAGCAGUGGGGGGUAUUGGACAAUGGGCGGAAGCCUGAUGCAGCGACGUCGCGUGAGGGAUGGAGGCCUUCGGGUUGUGAACCUCUUUCGCCGGUGAAGAAGGUCCUGCUCUUUGUGGUGGGGUUGACGGUAGCCGGGUUAUGAAGCGCCGGCUAACUACGUG
rnacentral:rRNA from 1 species